CAAUCGUUACCCUUCCAUUUUCACUGGACACGAACCUCUUGAAGUUCUCGCGAGCGCUAUACCCUCCAUGCCCAAAUUGACUUCCCCUUCCAAAUCAAUUUUCCAGGUUCUCAAGUUUAAGUGUAUCAUUUCAUAAACUUGUUUGAUUUGCACAAGUGGAGGAUGCAUAAUUGGUGUCUAUCACAAAUAUUUGCAAAAGUGUGCAGGUCCUAGUUGAGGAGUAUGCAAAGAUCCACAUGACUAGCAGUAUCUAAAAGAGGAAGGAGCAUGAUGAUGGGUGGGGUGACCACACCAACCGGUUGAUGUAUACUCAUUAUUAGAGCAAUUGGAUUUAUUGCACUUCAAGUUACAAACCGACUUACACUCUUGUCUAUAGUUAUGAGUUCAUAAUUUUUGUGCUUGACAAACUCGAACAUUAUAUUAAUUUGAAGAAUCUUGUGUAUAAACUCAAUUAUUUAUUAUUAAAUUUUAAUUUA